rfam:Oryza glumipatula chromosome 1, whole genome shotgun sequence.
UUUAAGUGCAACCAUGAGUUUCUGUGUCUAACUUUGAUCGUUCGUCUUAUUUGAAAUUUUUUUAUAGUUAUUAUUUUUGUUAUUAUGAGAUGAUAAAACAUGAAUAGUACUUUAUGUGUGACUUAUAUAUUUAAAUAUUUUUAAAAAAAAUUAAAUAAGACGGACAAUCAAAGUUAAGCACAUAAAAGCAUGGUUGCACUUAAA